AAAGGGAGACCUAAUUCAGGUAAAAGACGAAAAAAAAGUAGUCGCUACCAAGAAUCAAUCCCAAAAGGUCGGAGCGAGGCGAAAUUGGCUUUCAAACUAGGUUCUGGGUUCAAACAAGACCUGAAUCAGGAACAAGGGCUAUUAGCUCAGGUGGUUAGAGCGCACCCCUGAUAAGGGUGAGGUCCCUGGUUCGAGUCCAGGAUGGCCCACCUGCACAGGUGGCAAAAAGAAAGAAAAAAAGCGAGGAAUCAGCACCUGAUCUUACUUGUACAGUAAGAGAGAAUGCUGGCUCUGAGUACAGAGUCCAGAGGAACCUUGAAAACUGCAUAGAGCUAGGUGAAAAAGCCAAAAAAGAAGACCGCAAG
rnacentral:tRNA from 1 species